UAGGGAAUAUUGCUCAAUGGGCGAAAGCCUGAAGCAGCAACGCCGCGUGCGCGAUGAAGGCCUUCGGGUCGUAAAGCGCUUUUCUGCGAGAUGAGAAAGGACAGUAUCGCAGGAAUAAGUCUCGGCUAACUACGUGCCAGCAGCCGCGGUAACACGUAGGAGGCGAGCGUUAUCCGGAUUCACUGGGCGUAAAGCGCGUGCAGGCGGUUCGGUAAGUUGGGCGUGAAAGCUCCCGGCUCAACUGGGAGA
rnacentral:rRNA from 1 species